rnacentral:misc_RNA from 1 species
GAUGCCAUAAGCCAAAAAGUUGGGCUCACGUCAUACUUUUUAAAGUUUGACGAAAUGCAGAAAAGCUCUCUUUUCACAUCUGCUAAGCCAUUUUUGCCACGUAAAUCAUUGACAAGAUCAUCCGCUGUCAGUAUGUCUGAGAUCGAAGAUGGCGCAACUGAAUCAUCUGAUCAGAAGAACGAGCAUCCAAUGCUUGCAUCAGUAUUUGAUUCUCCAUUCGUCUAUUUUUUGAAGCGCUUAGAGGCUGAUAUUAGAGAAAAGAUGGU